rnacentral:lncRNA from 1 species
AUAGGGAACCUAGAGUUAAGAAUCUAAUAAUUCACUAUUCGACAUCUACUAACUUAGAGUACCAACUAAACUAAAGCAUGAUUAAAUGAUAUACUAUAAGAUAAUUCAAUUAAGUGCAUAUAAGAGAAUUCAAUGAUAACUGUAUAGAUAGUCAUAGCGGGAGGACAACAUGAAAGCUUAGGUUCCUGGUAAUCUCUAUUACUGUAACACCCAAAAAUUUGCAACUUUUGAAAUAGGUGAAAAAUGAUUUAAUUUUGUAUUUUUGUGCUCAUGAAACAUAGAAAAAAUAAUACUUUUCAUUAAAAUAAAACUUAUCAUAGGAUUAGUAACAUGGUUGUGUCUUCAUGCUCGUGCAUAUGAUUUAUUGAGAUGAUUGGUUUUAUUAAAGUUCAAAAAUAAUUCAAAGUGAUUUUUUAAAACGGUUUUGAAAAUGUCUUUGGAAUAAACAAAGGGAAAUAGAAAAAAAUAAAAAAAACAAAACCUCUCUCUCUCUCAGGUUUCAGCCUGAAGGCCUGUUUUCCCCCCUCGCUCGCGGCCGCGGCCCAUCCGCGGUUCGGCCCAGCAAUCCCCUCCCGCAUCGCGAGCUCGGCCCAGCAGCCGCAGCCCAACUCUGCCGCGCAGGCGCUUCCCCCUCCCCUUUUCUCAGCUGACAGCCGGGACCCAUCCUUCCUUCCUCUGACCGCACGGGCCCACUUGUCAGCGCGUUCUUCUCCUUCCUUGUGCCGUGGACGAACAGGUCUCCACCGGGGGGAAGCCGACUCCAUCUAUUCUGCGAUUUCUUGCCCUUUUUCGCGAUCUGAGACUCUAUAAAGGCCAAGGACCUUCCCCCGCAUCUCUUUUCCCCACCCAAGCGCUAUAUCGACGCCCUAGCAAUCGUUUGCGUCAAGUGUGGAUCUCGCCGAAAGAAACCUCCGCCGCGACGCGCGCCCGGCUCUCUCUACUCCUC